UAGACCUCUUCUGGCAUUUUCUACGAAGUUUUUGGACCCUGUUGUGAAGCAUGGCUUAAGGCAUGCCAGAAGCAAGAUGCUAAGAAACCCAGCCUUGCUAACCAACCUCUGCAUCACAUCUGGUGAGGGCAUCGGCAUCUGUCUCCAAAGUGGGGUUUUUGGAGACUUUCAUUUUCCAAGACAAAACCAAUAACCCAGCCACCAUGCAGGAAUAACCCAAUCUAGACCACCAGGAGAGAAACUGAAGCCCCCAGCCAAUAAGACAGCAUCCACUGUCAGAUGUCUGAAUCCAAUCCUAACUGGCAUUCAAUCCUUCAUGAUUCUACCCACAUUUUGUGAAGAAAGAAGUGGAUGCAGUGGUGGACAGAUUUCUGAAGUGAUUCCGAGACCUCUAAAUGGGCAGGAUGCAACAUAAUCUAAUGAGAGAAGACUGAUCUAGGCUGUUUUAAAAGUAUCAAAAUCAAGGUAAAGCUAUCAGCCUUCAAUAAAUGUUUUCCCCUAU